AUGCGGAGGCAAGUCGCCAUCGACACGGCCUCUUCGUCUGCGCCGUCAAGGGCCAACAGCUCCAGAUCCGGGAGCAUCUUCCCGGAGGCGGAGCCGGCGACUCCUGAUGCACCUGGUGAUGGCCGGGGUAGCGAUCCAGUCGACCUUCUUGAUGUUGGCUUCCCCACUAUGCUGCAACCUCCUCCUCCGCAGGUCAGUGGUGUUAUGUCCUCUUCUGCAGUGGCGACAUCUGGCAGGAGCACGAGGGAGGUGCAUACCAUCUGUUCGACGAGUUAUAUGAUGUGUAAAUUGGCAGUGUUGCUGAAUGGAAGGAGCUUUGCGAGAGCUAGGAAAGUAAUGGUGGACUCUCAUGAAGAACAGAGAUAG
rnacentral:rRNA from 1 species